rnacentral:lncRNA from 1 species
ACUUUUGUUGGAGCCUGAAUGCAAGAGCCAUUCUCACUGGGAUGCCACAGCUCUGGAGACUUCUUAUAGAUGUUGUUUGGAACACUCCAGGCUUGGAGAUGGGCCUUUAGACACUGCCUGUAGUACUGCUUAGCAACAGCUCUACAGACAUAAAGAGAUUGCAGUGGCUGCUCCUUCCUGGCUCCACCAUUCAGCAAGAGCUCCACAGAGGAUGAAGAGAUCCUCCUAGCUUGGCGGAAUACUCUGCUCUGAUGGAAGUACCAUCCUGGUCCAAACAUGAAAGAAUUCCCAACAUCAAGAUUGAUUGAAACAUAUUCAAUGGUGUAACUGGAUCUUGGUUCAUGCUGAGCUUAAAAUUUGAUCUUCUGAAUAUCAGCAGAAAGACUCUUUCUGGUGAAUACAGAUCUUCUGAGCAAUUAUCGACUGACUUUGUCAUUAGACUGCCCUUUCAGAAGGUACAAAAAAAGAAAAAGAAAAUUACUACUGUGAAGUGAAGUCUGAGCAACUGGGAAGAAAUGCAAGGUGAAAUGAAAUGGUGAAGGUGGUGACCAGAUGGAUAUAAACGGGCUGUGGAAAAAGAGAAUGCAUGGCCAAAAAUGGUGGUGCUCUCUGUCCAAAAACUGAGGCCCUAUGACCAUGAAUGAAGCCAGAGGGCAGGUAGGAAUAGAUCAUUUGCUCCAGAAGAAGCUGGUUGCCAUGUCUUGAGGACAGUAAACCCUCUGGGGAGGUUCCUGUGGUAAGGAACAAGGGCUCCUGGCAAUAGCCUCUGAGUGAGCCACCUUGAAAAUGGAUUGUCCAGCCCCAGUCAAGCUUUCAGAUGACUGUAGCUCCUGCCAAUGUCUUCACCACAACCUCAUGAGAUCCCAAGCUACAACCACUCAGAACUUCAUCUUUUGGGAAGCACCAGGGAGAGCUGCCUGUGCCUGGCAGAAGCUGCCCAUGCCCCACUGAUACCCCACAGUACUUCCUGUUCUGCUUAGUACUCCUGCUUCUUUCUACAAACAACUGUGAUUCUCUACCUGGGAGCUUCCUCUGGCCACAGGAGCCUGCUCACCUGAUUGGGACACCCUAGCAGUACUGGCUCAUAGAUGGAAGGGACUUGCCUUGUCGCUGAUGAGACUUUCGACUUGGACUUUUGAGUCAAUGCUGGAAUGAGUUAAGACUUUGGGGAACUGUUGGAAGGGUGUGAUUGUGUUUUGAAUUGUGAGGACAUGAGAUUUUGAAGAGGCUAAUGGCAGCGUCCCCACCUAAAUCUCUUCUUGAAUUGUAGUUCCCAUAAUCCCCACGUGUCGUGGGGUGGAGCCGGUGGAGAUAAUUGAAUCAUGGGAACACUUUCCCCCAUGCUGUUAUUGUGAUUGUGAAUUCUCACGAGAUCUGAUGGUUGUAUAAACGCCUUCCCUCUUCGCUGGGCACUCAUUUUUCUCCUUCCUGCCACCAUGUGAAGAAGGAUAUGCUUGCUUCUUGUGCCAUGAUUGUAAGUUUCCUGAGGCCUCCCCAGCCAUGCUGAACUGUGAGUCAAUUGAACCUCUUUCCUUUAUAAAUUACCUAGUCUUGGAUAUGUUUUUAUUAGCAGUGUGAGACAGGACUAAUACACAAAGGAUUUGAAAUCACAAAGGAGCUGUUUUCUGCUCCACCAUGGAAGUCUCACAUGCAUCACAUCUAUUCAUAUCCAUUUGCCACAACUAGACAAAAAGUCCUUUUUAAAAUCUGCCUAGAGAUCAGGAAGUAUUAUCUCUGGAUGCCUAGGCAGGAGAGGUGAAUCAGAUAUUGGUGGGCACUAGUGUGUUCUAUGAUACAUAGCUUAAUAAAAAUAAGUUUCAGAUAAAUCUAAAUAUACAUUAGAAUACUGUAACCACAGUAGAAAAAAAUAUUGGCUCCUUUUUGUGAUAAACUAAUGAUGGUAAAUGCACCCUAUUUAAGCAAGAAAAGAAACUGAUCUGCCAUAAAGAAAACAAUGACAUAUUUAACUACAAAAUAUGUUACAAAAUAUUAAUAUCCCUAAUGGACAAAUGAGUUCCAAUAAAUGGAUAACAAAAAACCAAUAAGUCUGUAGAAAAAUGGAGAAAAUAUAUUUGCAGAAUAUUUAUACAGGUGGUAAUGAAAUUGACAAUGAUGUUUAUCAUCAGCAGUAAACAGUAAAAAGUUUCACCCACCAGGACUAUAGAAAUUUUUCAAAUGGAUAAUUUUCAGAAUCAGCAAAGUUAUAGAAAAGUAGGUACCAGUUGCACAUACCAUUGGAGGAAAUGUAAAAUAUAGUUACCUUGUGGAAAGUAAUCUGAUGUAAUAUAUUAAAAUUUUAUCCAUGUAUGUCCUAUAAUUCAGCAAUUCCAUGUUGGGGAAUCCAUACAAAGAAAUACUUAUACACAUGCAGAAGGAGCUAAGUUUAAGAAAGCACACAUUUCAGCGGGUUGUGGUGUCUCACCCCUGUAAUCCCAGCACAUUGGGAGGCCGAGGUUGGUGGAUCACCUGAGGUCAGGAGUUUGAGACCAGCCUGGCCAACAUGGUGAAACCCUGUCUCUACUAAAAAUACAAAAAAUUAGCUGGUGUGGCAGUGGGUGCCUGCAGCUACUCAGGAGGCUGAGGCAGGAGAAUCGCUUGAACCUGGGAGGUGGAGGUUGCAGUGAGCUGAGAUCACACCACUGCACUCCAGCCUGGGUGACAAGAGCGAAAUUCCAUCUCAAAAAAAAAAAAAAAAAGAAAGAAAGCACAUAUUUCAAUAUCAUCUGCAAUGGUAUAAAAUCAUGCUAAUUUAAAAAUCCAUUAAUAAGGACUGGUUAAACAGUUUAUAGUUUAUUCACUAUAUGUAAUUUUAUAAGUUACCAAAAUCAUAGACUUACUGUAAAAUGAUUUUUCAAUUAGUAACUUUUCACCAUAACUUUUUUGGGGUAAUUUAUACCACUUUUUCGAUGACUCUUCUUGUUUAUGCUUUCACCUGAAAACAUACAAACUAAAUAUAAUCUAAAAAUAAUAUUUUUUAUUUUAGACAAGAACACACUCAGAAAUUUUCUCAACACAGUUUCUAUGCAGAGAAGAGAUGUGGGACAGAUUUGAACUGCUGUCAUAUUUGUAUGAACCCAAGACAUUUUCCAAGACCAAGAGGGAUAAAGACAGCAAUUUCUAUGACUGGCAUUUUACGUGCAUGCACUGUUUCCAAGUGUUCUUGUGUUCUGUGCCUUAAACAUUCUGUGUUGCAACUUUAUGAAUUGAAUUAAAGAUAAUCCCAAGCCCCCAAUUGUCUCAAAAAGUGAAAAAGUAAAUGUUAUAGAAAGAAAAGCGGGAAAAACUUUAAGCAUGAAAUAAAAGAUGGGUUGUGAUAAAAGAGGACUGAAGAAGGAAAAGGAAUGAAAGGUUCUGCCAUCCUUCAUGGCAGCCCACUCCACUUGGUAUGAGAUACUGCUCCCUUGGCUGAAAGUUAACUGCUGUACUCCCUCCACUUUCUAUAAAUGACUCCCUGUGCCUUUCCUUCACCACACAACUCACACUCUCUUCCUUCCUAGUGAGUCCACUAAGGCUUCACUGCAUUAUUACAUUUAUUUCAUUUAGGAAAAACUGACUUUAUUUUCCUUCAAAUUGUUUUUUAUUGUUUAUAUGAGCUUGGUUUUAUUGUCAUUCUAUUUUUCUCCAUGAAAAUAGAGAAAAAUAGGGUCGAAAGGUUAGGUUGGGUGGAAAGGAAUUAUAUUUUUUCUCACUAAAAUUGAUGUAAAUAUCGUUUUCAAUUGAAUGAUUUUACACAGUGGCACAGUUUCAGGUAUGUUGCUAAGCAGGAAAGUUGUUAACCAAAGCAUGAAUGUAUUAAGGAGAUGUAUGCAGAAUGACAUGCAAGGUUAUCUAUGAUUGCUGAGUGAGAAAGAGCAAGUUGCUGAGUAUUAUAUAAGUAUGAUCUCACUUUUGUAAAAAAAAAAAAAAAAAAAGGCCUGGACUGAUCUGAAAUGACCCUAUUAAUAACAAUUAUGUCCAGGUCUGUAUUGCAUACUUGUCAUUCAUUACAGGAUCUUGAGACACAAUGCAAAGGAUCACAUCGCAGCUCUGUAACUUGUUAACUAUAAGAUUUUGAGUAACAUAACACCUUACUCCUUAAAAUUGCUUAAAAAAAAUCUGAACAUCAGGAAUAUUCUACUUCACAGGGUCGUUGUGAUAAUUAAAUGUAGUAAUCAAUGACAAUAGUGCCAGAUACAGUAGAUAGCCUACACUUUGCAGCUACUAUUUCUAUCUAUCAUCCAUCUAUUAAUAUAUAUCAUCUAUCUUUAACUUAUCAUCUAUCUUGUUCCAGUUUUUUAAAAUGAACAUGUAUUAACUUUGUAAAAAAUUAAGGCUAUAAGAUGUGCUGAGCUUUUGGAAUAGAUUUUCCUGUACUAUAUAUGACUGCCAGUGGGAGAAUUUGAAUAAAUGUGUAAAUUUGACUAAAUCUGAAUAAAUGUUCAUUUGACGGGACCAUAGAUUUGGGGGUCUAGCACUAGCUCUGUUUCUACACUCCUGCUGCUGCCUGAUAGAGAUGCCUCUCUUGUUUUGGACUCCAAGGUAAAGUAAGCCUUUUCAUUUUGUGCAUCAUAAUUUAAAAUGACAAAUGGAAUCUAUUUUUUUCUCCAUCUAACGCAUAUAUAGCUACCAUUUAUUAAUUCUUGUUUCCUUCUUAUGUUGCUCUUUGUUGUCAUUUUUAAGGGAAGAAGAGACUGGGUCACGGGAAUGCUUUAAUGUGGAAACCCUGAAUUCGUUCCACACAUCUGCCUUCUGGGGACACAGGUAAAUGAGGCCGAGUAGUGAAGUGGGAAGUUCCUGAAAAUGUGACAGCAAGCCUCUGUCCACUGCCAGACCGAAGACAGGGAGGCGCUCAUCGGCAAAUUAAUGGAUGUUAAAGGGAAGCAAAAUAACACCAAGAUAGACUCAUGAAUU